GACGAACGCUGGCGGCGUGCUUAACACAUGCCAGUCGAACGCUGAAGCUCAGCUUUUGUUGGGUGGAUGAGUGGCGAACGGGUGAGUAACACGUGAGUAACCUGCCUCCUUCUUUGGGAUAACGCCCGGAAACGGGUGCUAAUACUGGAUAUUCACUGGUCUUCGCAUGGGGUUGGUGGAAAGGGUUUUUCUGGUGGGGGAUGGGCUCGCGGCCUAUCAGCUUGUUGGUGGGGUGAUGGCCUACCAAGGCUUUGACGGGUAGCCGGCCUGAGAGGGUGACCGGGCACAGUGGGACGGAGAUACGGCCCAGACUACGACGGGGGGCAGAAGUGGGGAAUAUUGCACAAUGGGCGAAAGCCUGAUGCAGCGACGCUGCGGGAGGGAUGGGGGCCUUCGGGUUGUGAACCUCUUUCGCUCAUGGUGAAGCCGCAACAAUGGUUGUGGUGAGGGUAGUGGGUAAAGAAGCGCCGGCUAACUACGUG
rnacentral:rRNA from 1 species